CGGCCCUCGAGGACCGACUUUGGACACCCCUGCUUUAUGAAGAACAAGACACUACUAAUGAGUCAAAAACUGCGCUUCAGUUAGGAGCCUUAGUCAGUUACGCAGAGGACACAGCACGGAGGAUGUGAAGGAAGGACGAGUUCCUGGACGAAACUAUUAGCUGAUUCAUCCGACGGAGACUCCAUCAUUUCUGGCGCUCAUCGCUGGCGGCGAGAAACAUAAACAUGAAACUCACCCUGACUCCUGUGUUCCUCAUCUGGACUUUGUGGACCGGCCCGCAGCAACUAAACAGCCGCUUCACUUCUUUUUUGGAAAAGUGGACCGGGAACGGCCCGGAAAACACAGUGCACAUGUC